UACGUAGGGCGCAAGCGUUGUCCGGAAUUAUUGGGCGUAAAGGGCUCGUAGGCGGUCUGUUGCGUCGGGAGUGAAAACUUACAGCUUAACUGUGAGCGUGCGGGCGAUACGGGCAGACUAGAGUACUGCAGGGGAGACUGGAAUUCCUGGUGUAGCGGUGGAAUGCGCAGAUAUCAGGAGGAACACCGAUGGCGAAGGCGGGUCUCUGGGCCGAUACUGACGCUGGAGGAGCGAAAGCGUGGGGAGCGAACAGG
rnacentral:rRNA from 1 species